GUUUUAUCGUCUUCUUGCAUCAUGAAGUAAUUAGAAAGACGAUAAUGCAAUUUCUUAAUCAAUAGCACGCUAGCUGUGACUGCUUCAAGCCACGUGAAACUGCAAAUGGAAAAUAUGCUGGUUGAUAACGCAGUUUAAUUACCGAGAGGAAGGAAAAGAAAAGAGACGCGAAUUUGCUGAGACAACAUAGCGGUAAUCAAGCCAUCAAAAAGAAGCCACUUGAAUUCUUGGCACCACAGUGGAAAGGACAGAUGUACUGCGUGAUGAACGCCGUAGACAGCUAACACAGAAAGUGAAGGCAUCACGAAGUGUAGUGCUACGUUAUUAAACUGUAAGUGAACCGCAAUGAGUCAACAGAGGCUCGAACAUUCUCCACUCUAGUUUAGUAAAAAUAAACACUCACUGUACUCAUGUAUUAGUUGUUAAGCUUAAGAGAAUGUAAAUUUUGAAUUCUAUCCCCUGAAGUGAGAAAUGAAUGUUCACUUAUUGUUAUAAGCACAUAUGGACCAAACUUAAAUAUGCACAUACAUGUGAAUCUUGGUAUUAAGGAAUGAAGUGACUGAUGAACAAUGAGUGAAAAACUUGGUUUUGAAAAAUGAUAAAUAUCUUAUAUAUGUUUAUAAAUGUAAUUUCAGUUAAUGUACUUAGUACGCCAGUAACAUUAUGUAAGUGUCAUACCAAAAAUCACGAAUAUCUC